rnacentral:rRNA from 1 species
CCUACGGGAGGCAGCAGUGGGGAAUAUUGGACAAUGGGGGGAACCCUGAUCCAGCGACGCCGCGUGAGUGAAGAAGUAUUUCGGUAUGUAAAGCUCUAUCAGCAGGGAAGAAAAUGACGGUACCUGACUAAGAAGCACCGGCUAACUACGUGCCAGCAGCCGCGGUAAUACGUAGGGGGCAAGCGUUAUCCGGAUUUACUGGGUGGAAAGGGAGCGUAGACGGCGAUGCAAGUCUGAAUGGAAAGGCGGGGGCCCAACCCCUGGACUGCUUUGGAAACUGUAUGGCUGGAGUGCAGGAGAGGUAAGUGGAAUUCCUAGGGUAGCGGUGAAAUGCGUAGAUAUUAGGAGGAACACCAGUGGCGAAGGCGGCUUACUGGACUGUAACUGACGUUGAGGCUCGAAAGCGUGGGGAGCAAACAGGAUUAGAUACCCCAGUAGUC